GCGAGCCUGGUGAGAGGGAGCUGCCGCCUGACGCCGUGCGCAGGUGACGGGGGCCCGGCCCGGCCAGAGCGCCCCCUUCCCGGGCAGCUGGCCCCGGGAUGGGCCGGCGGCAGGUGGCAGCCAGGAAUAUUUGACCCCUGGCUCCUCCCGGAGGCACCGCCACCCCCGUGGGCCUGCGCACACGUUCGCUCCGACCUGGGACGGGCUCCACUCAGGCUGCUCCCGGGGAAGGGGCUGGCGGCAGGCGCCCCGGACGCCCAGAGUCACCCUCUGCGGGCUGGACAGCGACAGGCCUCGCACAGGUCAAGUCGGCCCCUGAGGCAGAAGGCUGCGCAUCUGUCUUGGUGUUUUCUCCGCCCCUGACGCAUCGGAGCCCUAGCUCUGCUGUAUCGGUCAGCGUUUGCCGCCGCAGUGCCCGGUAACAAGGAACAUUCUAGAAGGCCUGCCCUGGGCAGCUCCCACCUGGCAAAGCUGAUACAAGAGGUGUGUUGGAGCAGGUGCCAGCCUGGCGGGGCCACACCUGGGUCUCCCAGGGGACCUCAGGGCUGCUCCCUCUCAGCCCCCUCCCCUCGGGGUGGGUCCCCACCCGCCUCCCCUCACUUAUCCUCCUGUCCCUUUUCUCUCUAGACCCUCUGUCUCCUGCUCCCCCCUUCCCUCUUUCAGAGACUUGA